CUAGGAGUUCCACAGCACCCACAAGGCCGCUGAAGGCCAGUUAGAACGUGACCCUCUACCCACAUCUGCCCAGCAUCCUCAGGGAAGCCUUCCUGGCCGCAAGUGGUCUGAGCCAACACCACUAUCACCGCCCACUGCGCCACUGCUAUCACCAACUUCCUGAUGAGGAAUGUCCACGAGCACAGACUCGCUGCUCUCCAUUCGUGACAGCUCAGAGGCCUUUUUAGAAGGGGGGCUUCAUGUGAGUUUUGGCUGCGUUCUGCAAGGAAGGUUUCUAGGGGCCUCAGGAAGAUACCCCACGCUGUGAGAGGGGUGGACCACAGGCCUAGGAGCCCUCAGCUCUGGCAGAGAAACCUUCACCAGGCCCCCCCGGACACCUGAGCUGUCCUGAUCAGAUCACCGGAGCAGCUGACCAGAUCUUGGAGGCUCGUCCUUCCUCCCGCCCGAACCCUUCCCGGGCGGCAGCCUGCUGAGGUCUGCUGAAGGCUGCGUGCACCUGCCCUUUGACCCAGCAGUACCACCUCUACAAUUCACCCAACAGGGACCAGCCCACGGGCUCAAAGGUGGAUGCACAAGGAUAUUUUCAUCGCAGGAUUGUUUGUGGCAGCAAAAGGCUAGAAAAAAUGUCACUGUCCAUCAGUAGGGACUGGGUCACGAAGUGCAGAGCAUCUGCUCCAAGGGAUGGUACGUAGCAGUAAAAUCCAGGCUAAGGAAUGAUCUGCAAAGCAUACUUCACAACAGAAUGGUGUGCGGGAUAUGCUUCCAUUGUGUAAAGG
rnacentral:lncRNA from 1 species